rnacentral:misc_RNA from 1 species
GAUGAAGAACGCAGCGAAAUGCGAUAAGUAAUGUGAAUUGCAGAAUUCAGUGAAUCAUCGAAUCUUUGAACGCACCUUGCACCCUUUGGAAUUUUCCAAAGGGUAUGCUCGUUUGAGUGUCAUUGUACUCUCACACUCUCCGAUCCUUUGGAUAUGGGGAGCGGUGGACUUGGGUGCUUGCUGCUUCCUUGUGGCUCACCUGAAAUGCGUCAGAGCAUCUCUUGAUUGGACAUAGUACGGCGUGAUAAGUGUCUUCGCCGGCACCUCAUAAGAGGGUGGCCGAUCGGGAGCUCUGUGCUUUCAAACCGUCUUCGGACAAUCCCUGACAACUUGACCUCAAAUCGAGUAGGACUACCCGCUGAACUUAAGCAUAUCAAUAAGCGGAGGA